CAAAUUAAUCAAUGCAGUGAAUUUUGGUGAAUAACCAAAUGGCCUCAAGAUAUAAUCCAAAUUUAUUUAUGAUUCAGUUUGAGUUUAACAAAAUGGCAGGUUGUAAAGUGUUUCAAUUUUUCUUUUUUAAUUUUAUAAAGGAGUUGAAAGAACUCUGGUGGAUAUGAAGACUGCUUUGAAAUGAUAGUUACUACCAUGAUGUCAGAAUCCACUAAAAGGGUUCACAGUUAAUAAAAUGGUUUAUACAGCCUGGAACAAGAUGG